GCUCGGGUAGCUCAGUUAGGUAGAGCACUGGUUUGAAGAACCAGGUGUCGGCAGUUCGAGUCUGCCUCCGAGCA
rnacentral:tRNA from 1 species